rnacentral:rRNA from 1 species
GGUUGAUCCUGCCAGUAGCAUAUGCUUGUCUCAAAGAUUAAGCCAUGCAUGUCUAAGUAUAAGCAUCCUUAUACUGCGAAACUGCGUACAGCUCAUUACAUCAGUUAUUAUUUCUUUGAAGGUUGAGAUCUACAUGGAUACCCGUAGUAAUUCUAGAGCUAAUACAUGCGUCGAGUCCCGACUAUUUCAAAGUGGAAGGGAUGUAUUUAUUAGGUUCAAACCCAUCCUCUUGCGCGCAAGCGUGGGAGAGCCAAUGUGGUGAUUCAUAGUAACUGUUCGGAUCUCGGUCCUUU